rnacentral:tRNA from 1 species
UGGGGCGUCGCCAAGCGGUAAGGCACCAGGUUUUGAUCCUGGCAUGCGCAGGUUCGAAUCCUGCCGCCCCAGCCA